rnacentral:lncRNA from 1 species
AUGUAAUUAAAAUACAGUCACAAUUUGACGUAUUGACGGAUCAGCCUAGGUUGACUAUAGACUUUUUUUCAUAUAUAUAUGUGUGUGUGUGUGUGAAAUUAAACACGGCAACAAUGACUACGCUAUGUAAUUAAAAUACAGUCACAAUUUGACGUAUUGACGGAUCAGCCUAGGUUGACUAUGGACUUUUUUUCAUAUAUAUAUAUAUAUGUGUGUGUGUGUGUGUGUGUGUGUGUUUUGUGUGUGUGUGUGUGUGUGUGUGUGAAAUUAAACAGUCUAGGAUGGGUUGGAAGAUUAUAGACCUCCAUCCAACUUUGAAACAACGGUCAUGAUUUUGUUGCAGAAUAUAACAAUACUCGUUACAUUAAUCAACUUCAAAUAACAAAACUAUCACCUAUAUAUAAUGAUAGAUGUAUAUUCUGUGCGUGUAUAAAUAUGCAAGUGUGUGUGUAUAUUUCUGAUCCGGUAUUGAUUCUUUUGCGGCCAGCAGAGGUGGAGACGCCGACAUUUGGCAGUUCAUGAAAGCCAAAAGCUUCAACGCAUAUGGGGCCGAAUAGAAAGUAACCAUGGAACGACGGCUGCCUACAGAUUUGGCUCUCUAUGAUACGAUUAGGGUUUCAGGGUUUCCUCCUUUAAUACCGGCAUUUGUCUAAGUGCAUUAAAAAGAUUUAUGCAAAUAUGGUACAUAAGUUUUGAGAAGAUUUUGUACACAUAUGUAUGGUAAGUUCUUAAAUUUAAAGAUAAAUACAGUUUUUUUUUUAUAAAAAAAAACAGAAUAAAAUUUUUAGUUUCUUCCAUAAGUGCUAUUUCACUUAAAAUUCCAGUACCCAAAAUACAUUUGUUGUGUCAUCACAUAAUUUCUAACAAAAAUGUUGAACUUACAUUUGUUUCUAUCACACUUCUUCACUCCAAACAGGAUACUUAUUGCUCGUUCAGCUGGGUGGUUCAGUGUGAUAUAGUGACAUACAGCUCUUUUAGAUUAAGAGUUUCUCUGGACAAAAUUUCUUUUAAUAUGAAAGUUAAAGUAGUUUAUGGUUACACAAUCAUUCUACCAUCAAGUACUUUCUAACACAAUUUUUAACUUAAAUUUAUUUUUUACAAACUUCAUCACUCCAAACAAAUUUAUAUAUAAUUAAAAACAUAAACAUAGUUUCACAAAUUUUGGUUCAACUUUUUUCAAUUUUACCGUAUAUUCAUUUAUAUUAGUGUAAGUAUUUUACGCACACUUCAUAUGAUCCAAAUUUGUACAGUAUUGUAGGAAAAAUGAAGGUGCCUUAUUUUUAAAUCAAAACCAAUUAGAAAAUUUCAUAUAUCCAACAUGAAAAAUAACUUAUAAAUGAACUUUUAUUUUUUGUUCUACCACACUAAGAAAUCAGGUCAAAGCCAACGGACUUCACGCCGUCGCUAAUGCCCUCACUGGUGAGGACAACGCCGUCGCUAAUGACUGUCGUCGGCAUUGACUUCCUUCUACUCAUAUACGCCAUGUUUCUCAUUUCGAACAUGUUUUGCUGUCGAGAUCAAGUCAUUAUCUGGGUUUAAUCUCAACGGCAGUGCCGUCGAGAAUGCAUCUUUAUUUAAUCAGACUGUUUAACUUUUUAGAUUAUGUGUUUUUUUUCCCUUUUGCGAGUUUUUACUCUCUCUUUCUCGCACCGUCGUCGUGAGCUCUUGCCGUCGCAUGUCUACUUAAUCUUGCCAUCGCCAAGCUCAUGUGUCCUAGUUGACGUAAGUUUUCCCAAUUCAAUUAGCUCCUGGGCUAGGGUGGGCUUUAGCCCGGGUGAAGUUUAUGAAAAAUAUUUAGUACUUAUAUAUCUUCAAUAGCUCAGCCUAAUAUUGUUUUCCUGUUUUUCUGCGAUCCAUUAACAACAGUGAGGAGAGAGGUUCAAAGGAAGAAUUGUUUGAAUCUAGAUAAGAGGGAACGAAAUGAAAUUCUAGAAUAUCAUGAUCCAAAGAGUUGAAAUUGAAUAUAUAUUCAAUAUUGUUUGAAUCUGAAGCUUGCCUCUACCUCUCCUCUCUCUCUGGCUCUCAUCCAUCCUCACUCUCUUUCUGAUUUCCCCAAAUUACAAGGUUAGGGUUUGGUUUUUACCCUCAAAGUUUUUUUGUUUUUGUUUUAUAUGGCUGCUUGAUCUCUAGUUCCUUGUGUGGCUGCCCUGAUUUGUUCAAAUUCCAACUGCUUGUGCGGUUAGCCUCUUCUUUGCGGGUAAUUGUAAGUACAUACACUGACUAAUUAAUUGAACACUAAUUUUUGGUUAGGCAUAUAUUUAUUUGAGAAAUUUGUGCUGAUUUUUUUGGAAGUAAUAAUUUAGGCAUGUAUAAUUUUUAGGUUUUGAAUAUGUAAACCAUGUACUCAUUUAAAAGAAAUUUUGAAACACACAACAGAUUUACUUCUCGUCGUUCUCGAAACAUGAAUACAGAUACUUUUCUAUGUUGUGUAAUGUUGAACUGGACUAAUUUACUUGGUUAAAAAUUUUCUAAGUUUUGAAAUCUAAUGAUACUAUUAGCACUCAGUAUGUUAUAAAAUUUUGAUAAUGUUAUUAUCGUAAGAUGCACAUGUUUUUAUUAUUUCAUUAGGAGUUUAGCUGUAAGAUUUUUCACUCAUAAUAUACUACUAUGUAUUAACUGAUAUAAUGUACAUAUAUCCGUUGCACAGCCCCAAAUUUCAAUGUCGAUCUUACAACUGAGAUAGCGGUGGUAUAACCUGUAUUUGAGGCUAAAGUCGUAUCGAACUUGGUAGCAUAGGACAAAAAAAAUCGCCUUGACAAUAUCGGCACAAAGAAAAAUCAAAACGCCAACAAGACUUCUUUUCUAUGCACACUGGUUUUAUCCCCUUAAGAUUUCUUUUUUUCAUUCUUCAUUUCUUGGUCAAUUGGUCAACCAUUGACUUUUUGACUUUCUUAUUCUUUUCUUUUGAAUUAUAUAACCAACACAUAAUUUAAAUAUGGUAGGGUAUAAAAUUAAUUUCCAUUAACAUUUCUCUUUACAAAAUAUUUACAUUACAAUUACAAUUGUGUUUAGAAUUUCGGAAUAUUACAAUUGUCACCUCCCAAAUGUUAGGUUACACUUCAUGUGUCAAUCCGCCGUGCUAAAGACAUUGAUAGGACAACAACCGAUCCUGCCGGUGACAAAAGAAUUUACAGCAUAUACAUAAAAGUAGUUGAAGGAUUGCCAAACCCGAGGCGGAACGCAAAAUAUUAUAUUUUUUUUAUAUGUAUUCAAAUAACAUUCAAA